rnacentral:rRNA from 1 species
GACGAACGCUGGCGGCGUGCUUAACACAUGCAAGUCGAACGGUGAAGCCCUUCGGGGUGGAUCAGUGGCGAACGGGUGAGUAACACGUGAGCAACCUGCCCCUGGCUCUGGGACAACCACUGGAAACGGUGGCUAAUACCGGAUACGACCCGCCUCGGCAUCGAGUGUGGGUGGAAAGUUUUUCGGCUGGGGAUGGGCUCGCGGCCUAUCAGCUUGUUGGUGAGGUGAAGGCUCACCAAGGCGACGACGGGUAGCCGGCCUGAGAGGGCGACCGGCCACACUGGGACUGAGGCACGGCCCAGGCUCCUAAGGGAGGGAAAAGUGGGGAAUAUUGCACAAUGGGCGAAAGCCUGAUGCAGCGACGCCGCGUGAGGGAUGACGGCCUUCGGGUUGUAAACCUCUUUCAGCUCCGAAGAAGCGAAAGUGACGGUAGGAGCAGAAGAAGCACCGGCUAACUACGUG